rnacentral:tRNA from 1 species
UCCCUGGUGGCUCAGAUGGUAAAGCAUCUGCCUGCAAAGUGGGAGACCUGGGUUCGAUUCCUGGGUCGGGAA